UAAGCUCCAGAAAGGAAUGGGAGUUCUGAUAAUCAUCUCUAAUUAGCAUUUCCAGACCCUGAAUAUGGAGUUCAAAACUUCUAACAUGAGACCCACGUCUGAAGGGCAGAUAAGGAAAUACUACAGGAAGAACAACUGUACUUCCAUGAGGCAAAAUAGUGACUCCGUAAAAAUGAAAAAUUGUAUCUUUUGAAAAAUGUUGGGGGAAGCUAUAUACAGAGAGGUCAUCUGCAUGAAUGACAACCCAGACC